AUUUUGAUGUACUUUUGCCAUUGUUGCCUGUGCAAGAUCAAGAGCUUCCAGCACCUGUGAGAGUCUAUUUCCAAGGAGUAUAAUGGAUGCUGCAUUUGAAGCAGCAGUUUCCUGUGCUUCAACUUGCAAAGCAAUCCCUACAUCAGCAAGAGCAAGAGAAGGUGCAUCAUUAAUGCCAUCGCCAACCAUGGCGACGCGGUGACCUGAAGCUUGAAGACCUGAGAUGGCAGCAGAUUUCUGCUGGGGUGUUAAAGAUGCAUUGACAAAUUUGUCUUUUAUGCCUACUGUCUUAGCUACAGUUGCAACUGCCUCUUCCCUGUCUCCCGAUAACAGUACUGUUUCAAUUCCCUUGUGCUGAAGCCUGCUUAUUGUAGACUCAGCAUCCUCGCGUAAUUUAUCAGAUAUUGCAAUGGCACCAAUCACACCCUCUCCCUCCCGACCAACAUAUACAACUGUUGUUGAAUGAUUAGAUGAUUGACUGUCCUGUAAUGAUUUAAGCAUCACCGAUUGUUCAAGAGCCAUCAAAUCAGAACGUUCUGUUUUUUGCUGGAAACGUUCUUGAACCCAUUUCAGCUUUCCAAUUGCAACCAAGAGCCCAUUUACUUCUCCCAUGGUUCCAGAGCCGGGUUCAGCCAAUUGUCCACGUGUGACAGGGACACUCAAAUUUAAUGAUUCUGCUUUGCUAAUAAUAGCAUGAGCAAUGGGGUGUGAUGUUGUUUUCUCCACUGCAGCAGCUAUUUGAAGAAUCUCUAAUUCCUCAUGCCCCAAUGAUGUGAUAGCAGAGACAGCAGGUUUUCCUUCAGUCAGAGUCCCUGUCUUGUCCAGCAUGACAUGAUCCACACUUGCCAAG
rnacentral:misc_RNA from 1 species